rnacentral:rRNA from 1 species
AAAGCGGCUCUCUGGUCUGUAACUGACGCUGAGGCUCGAAAGCGUGGGGAGCAAACAGGAUUAGAUACCCUGGUAGUCCACGCCGUAAACGAUGAGUGCUAGGUGUUGGGUCCUUUCCGGGACUCAGUGCCGCAGCUAACGCAUUAAGCACUCCGCCUGGGGAGUACGACCGCAAGGUUGAAACUCAAAGGAAUUGACGGGGGCCCGCACAAGCGGUGGAGUAUGUGGUUUAAUUCGAUGCAACGCGAAGAACCUUACCAGGACUUGACAUGUCGCGAAUCCAGUGGAAACACAGGAGUGUCAGUUAUGGUCCAGCAGAGCGCCUUCGCCAC